rnacentral:rRNA from 1 species
GACGAACGCUGGCGGCGUGCCUAAUACAUGCAAGUAGGACGCAGUUGCGAACGGGCGAGUAACGCGUAGGUAACUGCCUAUUAGAGGGGGAUAACUAUUGGAAACGAUAGCUAAUACCGCAUACUAGUAGAUGGACCUGCGUUGUAUUAGCUAGUAGGUAGGGUAAUGGCCUACCUAGGCGACGAUACAUAGCCGACCUUAGGGGGUGAUCAGCCACACUGGGACUGAGAAACGGCCCAGACGCCUUCGGGAGGCAGCAAUAAGGAAUCUUCGGAAAUGGGGGGAAACCUGACCAAACAACGCCGCGUGAGUGAAGAAGGUUUUCGGAUCGUAAAGCUCUGUUGUUAGGGAGGCGGUACUUAGCCAGGAAGGGACGGCUAACUACGUGCCAGCCGCCGCGGUAAUAC